CCUACGGGGGGCAGCAGUGGGGAAUAUUGGGCAAUGGAGGCAACUCUGACCCAGCAACGCCGCGUGAAUGAUGAAGGUCUUCGGAUUGUAAAGUUCUGUGAUGGGGGAUGAACACAAUGACGGUACCCCAAUAGCAAGCCACGGCUAACUACGUGCCAGCAGCCGCGGUAAUACGUAGGUGGCAAGCGUUAUCCGGAAUGACUGGGGGUAAAGGGUGCGUAGGUGGUUUAGGAAGUUGGCGGUGUAAUUCCGGGGCUCAACCUCGGCGCUACAGCCAAAACUAUUAGACUAGAGUACAGGAGGGGUAAGUGGAAUUCCUUGUGGAGCGGUGGAAUGCGUAGAUAUAAGGAAGAACAGCAGGGGCGAAGGCGAAUGACUGGACGGGAACUGACAGUGAGGCGCGAAAGCAUGGGGAGCAAACAGGAUUAGAUACCCUAGUAGUC
rnacentral:rRNA from 1 species